UCCGAGAUGCUCUUAGAUUGAGAUUGCAAAUAGCUUAGUUGACAAGCUAUAUGUGGUCAGUGCACUAACUGUCUCGGAUUCUAUCAACCACUUGAAAAUGAAGCAUACUUGUUUUAGAAAUUCGGCGUAUUUGUCUUCGGUUGAUGUCUUUUGCUCUCAUUUUUGAGAUCACAUCUCGGUGCUUACAACUUUCUGUGAUUUCUAGCAUCUAGUGGUCAUUCUCAAGUGUUAAUAGAUUUGCUUAAUGGUAAAGGUUAUGAAGAAAGAGAAAAUUAAUGUAUAUUUGCAAGAGUAUCUUUGUAAUAAUUUGUACCUAAUUUUUUAUUUUUACUGCAGGCCUAUGUUUACCUAAACAAAAUUUUCCCAUUAUCAGCCUUGUAUUAGUAUCGGUUUUUUAUGAGUUGAUUAGUACUGGUAAUUAACUGUUUUUCUCUGUAUCUGUGGAGGCUAGUUCUUUCGACUGCCUUCUCUGGUCUGGCCUUUUUACAUUUGAGUUGGGGAGUUUUCUUCUCAAGGAACCUUAGGGUAUGCCCUAGUAUUUGUUUACAAUUAUUACUUCAAAUUUCGACUUAUGCACAUAAUUGGGAUCCUCCUCGUGAGGUGGUAUCAUUUGGGUCCAUGUUGUAUCCUGAAUCAUGCUUGUGAGCGACUUUGGGUUAUGUCAUGGGAGAGAUCUUGCCCCAAAACUUUAAAGCAGAUUGCUGAUUAGAAAGGAAAAACCAGGAGCUGUAACAAAACUGGGAGCAACUCUUGCAACAUACCCAUUGCUGGUCGUCAAGAUAAAAUUCUUGAAGUCUUUUGGUAUUCCACAGAGGGGAGGCAAAGAAACUAGUGCAUCAAAAGUGUAUAGACUUGUUACUCGCCUUGAUUUUAAUAACACAGGGACAGCAGAUAAGAUAUCCACACCCAUCACAUUCUAAGAAGACAUCACAGAUGUAGUCUUUCCCACAAUAUCCACACUUGCUCAUAGGCUGAGUAUCUAUUGUAUGGUUCUUCAACACCAAGGUAAGUGUGUGUGAUUGAUCGUUGAUAUCAAGUUCAACCGUCCUUCCAAACUUGAGACUUUCUAUCCAAUGGAGGCAAUAAGUGUGCAAAGAAUGAUCACAUUCACCACAAUGAUAGAGCCACCACUGAUUGUUAACUUGUCCCUCACAUAUUUCACAGUAAAAUACUCCCUCAUAGAAGAAUGGAGGUUGUCUCAAGGUUACGGGGUGAUCAUCAUAUUUGUGUUUCAUCUUACUCGGAUAGAAUGCACAUACUAUACGUAUCUGGAACUUGCUGCAAAUUUCACAUCCAUACUCCACACCACCUUUAAUCCCCUUACCACUUACACUACACACCGAUUUGGAGGAUGGACGUAGAACAAGGGAAUGGUGGUUGUGUGAUUUAUGCUUUAUCUUGGUGGGUAAGAAUGCACAACGUAUAUCAAUUCUAAUAUUGCAGGUCUUACAAUGAUAGUAGAAUCCAUUUGUGUUGUAACGGCAAAUCUCACACAAUGUAGAAGUAUAGAAGAUGGAUCUCCCGUAAAGCUUAAGCGAAUGCUGGGGAUGAGGAGGACAUGCUCCUGCUACCAAUACUCCUGGAAACUGAGUGGCACAAAAGGAGUGGAGAAAGAAACCACAUUGAUUGCAAGCAUAGUACGACGGAUGGAAAACAGUUAUGGGUUGAAUGCAACCAUCGCAUACCAACUCUCUUCUAUCAUAAUUAUUUUCAGUGUUAUCAUUCUCACUAGUACUGUACUGGAACCGCACUAAUGGAUGCUCCUUAUGACUCCAGUGUUUAUUAAUUAUGGGAGGAUCAGGAGCUGGUGAUAUAGCAGUACUAUUUUUAUUUUUACCUUGAAAUUGAAAUUGGAGCUUGCGACAUUGGGAUAUUAUCAGAUCAAAUAGCGAUUCCUCGCUAUGCAGUGGAAGCUCUAUCAAAUCAGCUUCAUCAUUGUGACUGCCCUCUUCUUUAAUCUCAUUUCUGAAAAUAAAUUGAAUUGUUUAGCAAUAGCUCAAGACAUUAGGUCAUGAGAUUGAGGAAAAACAGAUGAUCAAAAAAAUAACAAUAAUUCUUGUUAAAACAGAGUACUUACAGAGAAGACGAUGUAGGUGAGGAUGUGGCACAUCUCAUAUGCACAAAAUAUGUGCAUUUAUGACAAUAAUACAUCUAGAAGUUUCUAUAAACUCGUCGCUGACAGAUGUUGCA